UCCAAAUUACGCUCAGAUUUGCUUUCCUAAAUUCUCUCUUCUCCUCUUUUCUUCGUAUCAAAUUCAAUCUUCGAAGAUGUUUCUUUCCGAAUCACGCGGUUAUAAUUGAUGAACAGAUUCGUGCAGUUCAAUUUCCUCCGAUCUCAUCAGCCUAUCGCAAUUUUCUUUUUGAAGCUAUUUUGCUUGUCGAUUUAUGCCGAUCCCAUCAGCCUAUCGCGAUUGUCUUCUUUACGAAGCUAUUUUGCUUGUCUUUGUUCAAUAAUGGCAGUAGCUGCAAUUGAGGAUGUUGGAAAUCAGCUUUUUGGUGAUGGUUCUACUGUGUUGUCAGUGUUGGAGAAAAGAAGAGGUUUGAGGAAUUGUAUGGUGUUGUGAGGCCUGAUGUUAUACAUGCUCAUCCACCAAAUGUGGUGAAGUGUAAAGGAUCUGGAUCCAGGUUGCCUUCUAAGAUAGAGGCGGCGAAGAAGGCGGCGUCUAAACCUCCUAGACAAUGUGGAAAAUGCCAUAAAAUGGUUAAUCAUGAUUCAAAGAGAAGAGUAAAAUACAUAAAUAAAUUAGUUGUUCCUAUCACUAUUGUUUCUGUUUAUUGGCAUACAUAAUUCCUUGUUUUGGAUAUUCCAUAGCAUUCUUGUUUCCAUGUUGUAUGGAAGAAUAAUAAUCUCCACUUAUGUUCUGAAUGUUAUCUCAUUUUAUUUUUCAUA